GUCGUCGCGUCUCAAGCAAUCCCCCCUCUCGGCCGCCCGCCCAUUUCUCCUCCCCGCUCCCCGCCGCCUCCGCGACGGUUUUCGCCAGUCACGUGACGCGGCUCGGAUGACCCGGCACCACCGAGACUGCUCGCUGUUCUCCUAGAAGGGCCCUUGGAGGCGCCCGCUCUUCCAGUCUCAGCCGGAAGACGACGCCGGCACGUCGUCCUCAGGGAACGGGGGGCGGGCGUCCCCUCAGAGGUCGGCGCUCUCUCCGCGGAAGGCGGCCAUCUCUAUGAGUGCCUGCCGCACAUUGGAGGUCAGGAACUGCACCUCUGCUCAGCCUUCUCCCAGACCACGCGAGGAUUUGAGUUUUCAGUCCUACACAGUGUGCCGCGAAGAGUUAACUUUGUGCUGAGUUUUGUUUGAAGAUACUUUCAAAGUCCCAGCACCAUGGGUCAGUGAGCGGAGAGGAGGGGGAUGUUCCAGCCUGUGUGUGGGGAUGGGAAUCAGCAGGUUCCAGACUGGCAGAGGCAGAGAUGAGCAAUAGCAGAUGCGUAUUCCAUUUUUCCUCAGGAAUCAAGUGCCUAAGCCCCCACCAGCCAGGUUAGUUCUCAGCUCAUAUUUUUAGGGCUAUCUGGAAGAACAGAGACAAUAAAAGGAGGUUUGGGUUACAGUCAGGGUGUCAGUAUACUAGGCAUGGGUUUGAUUUCAGGGACAGUGGAAACCCCUCCCACAAAGCUUCCUCCAGUAUAAGUGUUCAACCUGCAGCUGCUGUAGAACCCAAGACAAAUUCUCUCAUCAUAAGUGACACAGAGUGCUAUUUCCAGACGCUGUCCCAAGUGACUUGCCCAGAUUUACUCCUUUAAUCCUCGCACAGUCCUGUGACAUGGUUGUGGUAUCGUUCUUCUCGUUUUACAGAGGAGGAGACUAAGGUCAAGAGGCCAUGUCACUUGCCAAGUUCAUGGGUGGUAAGCAGUGGAGCAGGAAUCGGAUUCUGAGUCCUUGCUUCUGGCCGCUCUGCUAGGCUGCAUGUUUGGUGGAAAUGGUGCUACCACGCCCUUUCCCACUGUGCUGAGCAGACCAGUGGGGAGCGGAGCUGAAGGCACCAGGUCCAAGCACUUGUGAGAAAGGAUGCCAGGAGUGGAGACUGGGCACUGUAAAGGCAAAGUCUGCAGAAAACACCUCCAGCUGAUCCUUUCUUUCACUCUGCACAUGGCAGAGAUAUUUCUUGUGUGUGACAGGGUAUAUGCUGAUUUCAACCCACACAUCUUUCCAAACCACUCAGCAGCUGCCUUUUGCUUGUUUUAUCCCCUAUCUAGAAUCUUCCCGGUGGAAAGGUUUCUAAAGAGUCAUCUCCCCUCACUGAAGAUGAAGUCUGUGAUUUAAACUCACAACUUUUUCUCUGGAUGACUCUGAAAGCUGUUCAGUUGUCCCUUUGUGUAGACCCAUUUGACUUUAGAAGUUCUCCUUGGCCUUGUAUCUUCCCUCCCUUCUGUAAACAGCUUUCCAAUCACAACUGAGUUCCCCACCAUGGGGUCACCAAAGACAAGAAAUACAGGCCAGCACAGCAGAAAGCCAGACAGAGCUGUGGAACCUGACCCUCCCGUAAUAGGAAGCUGGCUAGAGAGCCCAAGAUCAGAGGCAGCCUCCAUGUAGACAUCAAUUACUCUUGAAAUUGAACACUUGCUGUGUCUUGUGGGUUGAUCUAAACUGGUUUGUAUUGUAAUUUAUUGGGUACCCAUCUCCCCCACUGAGUCUAAGCUCUUUCAGGGUAGGGAUUAUACUGAAUAUUUCUCUCCUGCAAAACAGGUUCUUCAUAGUAAGCAUUCAACCAACUUGACAUCGGGGGACCCCAGGUUCCUGAAAAGUUGACAGUGGGCUUCCAUAUCACUGACUGGACUUCAGAGAAGGAAGUCCCCGCCAACCAGAAUGGAAGCUCCCAGGCCAUGGAGUGAAAGAUCUGUCAGCUGCAGCCCUGGUGCCCAGCCC
ensembl:lncRNA